UACGUAGGGUGCAAGCGUUAAUCGGAAUUACUGGGCGUAAAGCGUGCGCAGGCGGCUUUGCAAGUCAGAUGUGAAAUCUCCGGGCUUAACCUGGGAACUGCAUUUGUGACUGCAUCGCUGGAGUGCGGCAGAGGGGGAUGGAAUUCCGCGUGUAGCAGUGAAAUGCGUAGAUAUGCGGAGGAACACCGAUGGCGAAGGCAAUCCCCUGGGCCUGCACUGACGCUCAUGCACGAAAGCGUGGGGAGCAAACAGG
rnacentral:rRNA from 1 species